GUUCCUCCUUCCCAGGUUCUCUGAUUCUCUCUCAAGAUCCCAUCUUGCUGCAUAAUCUCUGGAAAGAAGAUCACAACGGUGGCUUGCCCGAGUUUCACCUCUAAGCUUUGAACUUGAAGCUGCAUUGAAGUUGGCUAGAUAUUUGUGCAGAAAAUUGAUGAGCAACCAGAGUCGCUUUGGUGGUCUGAAUGUCUGAUAAUGGAUAUGAACUUCAGUUGAAGCCUGGUUGACUAUGCUCGACCUAGCAGGGAGGAGGAACCCAUGGCGUGAUGGAAGAUGAGGAUCCGAAAUUGCAGAGAUGAUGUCUCAAGGAAUGAGCACUAUUUUUGGUUAUCAGGCUAAUUGAUCUUUGGUUAUUGCUAAUUUUUGGUGUAGCAAAUCAUGCUUCUCCGUACAAGUUGGUAGAGGCAUGAAGGCAAAACAACAAAAGGAAAUGGCCCCUGGUGUGAUAUUUGGUCAUGUUCUAGACCAGAGUAUCUUUAUAUUAAUUCAAAGACGGACAAUUGACGUAGAAAUGACAUGUUAGUCCAAUCUCGAAGGCUGCGGUUGCAGAGAACGAGUUAUGUUGAUAUACGAAAUCUGGGGCAUUGGCUUAUCGUGGCACCUUUAACCACAUAUUCUUCUUAUCUUUUCAGUUCUUUUAGUUGUCUGACAAAUGUCAAACCUCCGUCCGGGCCGACCGCCUCUUGUACGUCCCCGCGCGACACCCACGCCGGCCUCCUCCUGCACGUCCUGUGCUAUUCAGGUAUUAGGCUGUUUAUUGAAAUAUCACCACACUCCAGUACCAGUGGAUUCCCACAAAUCUUGCAGGUUCAGGGGCAGGCCACACCAACGGCAGAAGCGAGAGCUCAGAAAUUGUUUGGUAUCCAUCAUCAACCUUUGCACCUAUUCGUGAUAUAUGCGGCUUUGCUAGAUGUACCUUCAUCCAUGGUUCUUCCAACUGUGGUUGAUGAUCCGUAGGAGCUACCGGCAUCAUCUGAUACAUCUGGAAUAAAUAAGAGCUGUAGAAAGUACAGAAUGAUGAUACUUAAAGAGAGAUGUCAGGCAUCGCUGGAUUUAUCAGUGGAAGAUGUCGUGGUGGCGUGGUCCAUCACUCCCGCCACCGUUCGGCGAGGCACCAUGGAUCCUUCUUUUUAAUCCAAUCUUACUAGCCUAUUUGGUAUUGCCGCCUCUGUAGAGAUGCGUCGUUCUGAGGGCUGGCAUUAUCUACGGCAGUAGCGAACCAACGUUGAAGCUCUCAUGGGCGCAAGGCAUAUAACCAAGCAGGUUAAGUCUGGACAGAAUGUCAUGCCAUAUCUGUUUAGAGAAGGAACAUUGAGUGAGCAAAUGGGGUAUAGACUCAACCUCCUGAUCACAUAAAGCGCGGGUGUCAUUAUCAUUCAAGUCAUGGCGUUUGCGCCUUUCUACUGUCCAACAUCGGUCAAGCGAGGCGUGCCAAGCAAAUACUUUGCAUUUGAGAGGGCUCCAACAUUCCUAGAUUGAGUUGUGAUGAGGAGAGAAUAUGGAGCCUUCAAAAAAUGCUUUGUAAGCAGAUUUAGCAGAGUAUGAGCCUGACUCUGUGAGGUUCCAAUUUAAGGUUUCCUGCGAGCCCGGAUACAGCUCCUGCUCUGCUCAGCAGUGAUGUCUGCUAACUGAAGAAAUAGAAUGAUAGCUUCAGUGGAGAGGGUUCCACUAAUAUCCCUGAUCCAGGCAUUCUCUGGUAAGGCUGAGGCGACUCACCGGUACUUGAUGACACGAGGACUGAGAGUAGCAACCACGGCAGGGGCAAGAUCUGCAAUACUCUGCCCAGCAAGCCAUCUAUCCGACCAGAAAGGAAGGUUAGUGCCAUUACCAAGGGUGGCUGUAGUUACUGCAUAAACAAGGGCUUUGACGUGGCGACUAAGAUGGAUGUGAAAGUUGGUCCAAGGGCGAAACAGUUGCCUAAUAGUACUUCAUUUCAGGAGAUAUUGGUGGCCCAAUCUUGAUAACCAUAUAUGCCUUUUUAAUAUAAGAACAUAAAUGUGGUUCCAUGUUAGAGAUAUGCUUAGAAGUAGCACCAUGUUCAUGUUUUUGUUCCGGUGGGAAACAUAAUUUAUUUCUAAAAAUGUAUUCAAUACUAGAUGACCAAAUAGACGAUGCAUCACUUGGUGCUUACGUUUUGGCUAUUGAGCUA